GCGGAGACCAUGAAGACUAACCUCGUCAUGACUGUCGUGUAUUUCUGACAGCACUGUUCUGGAUCCCAAUCAGCUGCUGCAUUUCCUGCAUGGACAGGAAAAAGAGAAAACACGUAUCUAAGUACUCGAUGGCACGUGAAGAGGCAACCACUGAAAUAACUUCUUCGGUCGAUUAUAGCCAGUCUUAUAAAAUGCGGUGGGUGAAUCGGGAAGGAUCUUCAGUCGAUCCACCCUCACUACCGUAAAGUCCAACGCCUGCCAAACGCCAAUGAACGGGAUGUGGACAAGAAUAAAAUAAGUCCAUCAGUACUGUAAGAAACAGUAUUAACAAGAAAUAUUUCAAAGUCUGGCCUAAACCGACAGACUAAAUAAGACCUAAAAUAUAUUUUGUCUUUUCUGAUCAAAGACUAUUACUUUAUAAAAUGUCGCAAAUACCACCGAAGAAUAUAACAUUUCUUAAAUUACAUAUUUAAGACUUGUUUCUAUAACUUAACACUGUCUUAAAGAAGCAAAUUAAAUUCCAAUGCUUUUAAACAAGCCGCUAGGAAACAUGUCCUGACGAGGCUAACAGUAUACAUCGAGUUUUAUCUCAGCAAAAAAAUAUAGAUAAAAAGUUUAUAAAUUUUUGUGUGCACAGCGUUUCUAUGAAAUGGAUUAUUUAAAUAGGUUUAACGCCUUUAUUUAAGUAUUAGCUCGUUUCAGUUUGACUUGUUUCUUUGGAAUGUAUUUAAAAACAAUUCUGGUUGUUCAAGCACAUGACGCUGGACACUGAACUAUUUCGAAGUAAGAAGUGUUUAUAUACAUUGCCACAGACUGAUUACAAAACUACAUUUUCAAUAUGAACAAUUAGCUCAUUGACAAUAUAUUUUAAAUUUGUUCUUUAGUAGUUUAGACGGAUUUGAAAAGUUUCUUU